rnacentral:misc_RNA from 1 species
UGUAACAACAGAAGCUUUUCUUAAUUCUUGUAUUGUUGAUCUUACAUACCACAUACUUGUACAAACCAGUAACAAGAUACCAUAACACCAUACACAAUAUGAUAAAGACAUACAAGACCUUACAACUAAGGAAACAACUCACAACUAAAACAUUUGUAUACAUUAGAAUAGUUAGCUCCAAACAUAUUCAUCUGACAAUCUGCUCUCCUACAUUAGUACCUGACAUUGGGUCAGUAACAGCACUAGAUGCUCUCAAAUUACAAAGUAAAGCAU